rnacentral:rRNA from 1 species
AACGAACGCUGGCGGCAUGCCUAACACAUGCAAGUCGAACGAUUGCCUUCGGGUGAUAGUGGCGCACGGGUGCGUAACGCGUGGGAAUCUGCCCUUAGGUUCGGAGUAACAGCUGGAAACGGCUGCUAAUACCGGAUGAUAUCGCGAGAUCAAAGAUUUAUCGCCUGAGGAUGAGCCCGCGUUGGAUUAGGUAGUUGGUGGGGUAAAGGCCUACCAAGCCGACGAUCCAUAGCUGGUCUGAGAGGAUGAUCAGCCACACUGGGACUGAGACACGGCCCAGACUCCUACGGGAGGCAGCAGUGGGGAAUAUUGGACAAUGGGCGCAAGCCUGAUCCAGCAAUGCCGCGUGAGUGAUGAAGGCCCUAGGGUUGUAAAGCUCUUUUACCCGGGAAGAUAAUGACUGUACCGGGAGAAUAAGCCCCGGCUAACUCCGUG